CAGGCAGUGCACCGACUUCUGACGUGCAGUCCAACGUGAUGGGGACCCUGCCUGUAAGAGGUCACGGUCAAGGGGUGUCAGACAGAAACUGCCAUGGGGGCAGCAAACUCUUGGGCAGUAUCUCAGUACUCACAUUUGCCUCUGGGUUUUUUUUGCAGGAGAUGUAGACAGCCUGACAUGGCCGAAGGCAACUCACAGUGAGGUACCAUCCUUGUAACCUUUGGGAGCAGAUGAGCAUUGGAGGUAUCCCAGAAGAUGACAGCACAUUGUCCAAGUCUGGUCAUAGGCUGACACGAGGACCUGCCUGGGUGACAUUGACUGCCAGUAGUCUGACGAUGGCAGGAAUCUCUGAGCCAGCCCAGGUGCCCCUCCUGUGCAUCAAAGAUGGAUUGGCAUCCCCAGCUCUCGGAAAGAUAAGUGGACGCAAUUUACCCCUUACCGAGACAAGUUAA
rnacentral:lncRNA from 1 species